GGAUGGGGGCGCCUGUUGCUUCUCCAGGGGGUUGCGCACGCCGUCCGCCCCUUGGAGGGAUUGGAAGGCCCACGCCCUGCUGCGAGAAGGGCGCGUUCUAGCUCCUGAGGGACUCCAAGCUCUAGCAGACCUGCCUGAAGUGUUUUAAAGCACAUUUUCUUUUUGAAAAGAAACCUGUUGCUGCAGCUUAGCGAAUCUGUUCUCUGUGUCCAUGUGGGAGGAGAAUCCUAGCACCCUCAUCUAGUGAAAUGUUACCUAAAGCAAAGAUUUGCAGCCCUGGGUUGUUUUUUCCGUCCUGCAGUGUUUUUAGUUACUUCGAAGGAAUUUGCAAAACUGUUACAGAUAAUUUCAGUUCAUUUUGAUUUUUUGUAAAUGUUGUGCCUAUUUUAUGGAGUGAUAAAGCCUGCUGAGUGCG
rnacentral:sRNA from 1 species